AGUGAACGCUGGCGGUAGGCCUAACACAUGCAAGUCGAACGGCAGCACAGUAAGAACUUGCUCUUACGUGCGGCGAGUGUCGGACGGUUGAGGAAGACAUCGGAAUCUACUUUUUCGUGGGGGAUAACGUAGGGAAACUUACUCUAAUACCGCAUACGACCUACGUGUGUAAGCAGGGGAUCUUCUAACCUUUCGCGAUUGAAUGAGCCGAUCUCGGAUUAGCUAGUUGGCUGGGCAAAGGCCAACCAAGGCGACUCUCCGUAGCUGAUAUGAAAGGAUGAUCCGACACACUGGAUCUGAGAAUCGUCCCCGACUCCUGCAGGAGGCAGCAGUGGGGACUACUGGACGAUGGGCGCGAGCCUGAUCCAGCCAUAUCGCGUGGGUCCAGAAGGACUUCGGGUUCUAAAGCCCUUAUGUUGGGAAAGAAAAGAAGCAGGUUAACACCCCGCUGUUCUGACGGUACCCAAAGAAUAAGCUCCGGCUAACUUCGUG
rnacentral:rRNA from 1 species